GCGGGUGGCCAGUCUAAGAAGCCUCCAUCAUCAAGCUAGCAGAAAUCCUACCUCUCCUUCUGGCUACAGAGUACUUACCAAGCCCAUGAAAUCGAAUGCAGAUCUUCCUAAUGUGAGAUUUACAUAAAUAUGUCAAAGUCUCAACCUCAUGCUGCCCUCCCCCAUCCUCCUAAAGUAAGUAUUUGUUGUUGUAGUUUUUUAUGCGGUGUCUGUGUCACAUGCUAAUCAUAAUUAUUGAAAUAACUGUUUUCUAACAGAUUUUCCAAAACACUAGUUAUGUUUGUUGUCAUUCAGACCAAUACUACUGCUUAGACAUUGUUUAGUGGUCAUGCAUGUUUGACAAGCUCGUUAUGAUACCAAAACAGUAGGCCUAUCACAAUAAUCGAUAUAUCGACUUAACACACAAUACAUGUA